rnacentral:ncRNA from 1 species
UUACAAGCCAUGAAGAGGGAAAGUAAAAUGGUUUUAUUCUGUACAGAGAGCUUCGGUAGCUGAAAAGAAGCAAGGAUAAGCAUUUGAAAAAUGGCCUCGGAGCUUCACUUUGAACUUAUCACAAUGAUAAUAGUAGAUGGUGACGAGUUGGGACUCUCGUUAUAAAAGUUACAGUAUAAAAACAAACGUUGUUUGUUGAGUACUUGCAGAGGUCCAUAAUGUGAGUUAUGGGCAAAAUAAGGUGGUACCAUGGGAACUCAAAGCCCCAUCCUUAUC